rnacentral:lncRNA from 1 species
GACAUCAAUUUUCUUACAAAAAGUAACCACAGUAAGAAACCAGAAGAUAGUGACAAGAAAAAAGGAAGAAGACAGAGCACAAUACAUCGAUAUAAUUCAAUAAUAUAUAUAUAAAAUAUGGUAUAUGUCCUUAUUGUUUUGUUUUUUAAUUAUUCAUCCCCAAUGGACUAGACGGCUCUAGAUGCUCUUAGCCGUCGUCCACUUACAGAACUUCCUAUGCUCAAACUUGAUGAAUUCAUCUGCUUCCUUGUCAACAUCCACUUGUUUUGUAGCCUCUCUCCUACUCAUUCUCUCGCUCUGAGUCCUCCUCAUAUCCUCAUACUCCAAGACAUGGAUCGGUUCUUCAGCUGCAAAGGAAACUCGAAACUCCUUCACCGAGUCGCGUUGAUGACGAGGAUGAUGAUGAGAUUUGUGGUUAG